rnacentral:lncRNA from 1 species
AUAUAGAGAAAUGACAUGGGAGAUGGCCUCCAUUUUUCCCAUUGUACGGACAAGAUCUCAGGCAAAGGUGUCACAGCCACAGACGUUUCUGGCUAGAAAAACAAUCAACAUCCUAGAGAUCAGUAACAAUAAAACAAAAUUUCCAGUUCUCAAAAAAAAAGUGAAGUUAAGAUAAUAGAUAAAACAUUCAUUAGUUUACAAAAAUAAAAACUAAUAGUAGCAUCCAUUGUUGAUGAAAUUGUAAGUGCUAGAAGAAAUGUGAUUACUACAAGGGUUUUGGAAAGUAAUUUGAUACAUAAAUAGUUAUAAUUUUAUUUAAUAUUACAUAAAUUUAGUAUUUAAAUAAUUUCAAUGCACAGUACUUACAGCACUUGGCCAAGUUUUCACAUUUUGUACCACUUAUUAAAUACAAAUAACAUCACCAAGAAUAAAAGAUAAAUAUACCACCAUGUUUAUUAUAGCAUUGUUAUUAAUAUAAAAGAUUUGGAAUGUUAGAACUGUCCUCAAAAUCAGAAAGAUUAAAUGGUGCAUCAAUUGAAACCUUGGUAUAAAUAUAAUAUUGAUUAUUAUGUAGCUAUUAAUGCAAAUAAGAUUGAUACAUGUGUUGCUUUGGAAGAAAAUCUAAAAUGUGUAUUUUAGCAAAGGCAAAUUAUAGAAUGUGCAUGUAUUAUGUGUGUACAUGGAUGUGUGUAUAGCAGUUUCAGUUUUGUAAAUGUGAACAUAAUCUUUGCAGAUGUUUUAUAUGCAAAAUUAACUUCAUGAAAAUUAUUGUCAAAUUGCUAUGAGUGCUUAUAUUUGAAAUUGGAAGAAGAAAAGAAAAGUAUUAAUUUAUCUUCCACAUCUUCUUAUUUUCAAAUGUUAUAAUGAUUAAUUUUUUGUAAGAGCACUGAAAAACCAACAUGUACUUCUAGUUUUUAAUUUUACGGUCAAAUAU